ensembl:lncRNA
GUACAGUAUUUGUCUUUUUAUGUUUCAGGUUUGAUGAUAGGAGAACAGUGACUUGUACUUCACAGCUGGACCUCUGAGGUGCUGUUCAGGCCACGACAUUGUAAACCAGGGCUGGGGGGGCAAUUCUAUUUCAAAUCAGGAGGUAAAGCCGAAAUGCACAUUCCAAUGUUCCACAUUAAAAAGUUGAAAAAAAAGGAGAAUUGGAAUUUCAGUUGUACUUCCUGAAUCGACUGAUUUGAAAUGGAAUUGAGCCCAACCCUGCUAUAGACACACAGCAUGAAGUUUGUGCUAUCAUGCCAACUCCCUGUCACACUGAUGACCCUAGCCUGAGUGCCAGUCUGUUUGUGCUAUCAUGCCAACUCCCUGUCACACUGAUGACCCUAGCCUGAGUGCCAGUCUGUUUGUGCUAUCAUGCCAACUCCCUGUCACACUGAAAACAGAUCUGGGGUCAGGCUAUAGAAGGAGACAACAGAUCUGGGGUCAGUCUAUAGAAGGAGAAAAUAGAUCUGGGGUCAGGCUAUAGAAGGAGAAAAUAGAUCUGAGGUCAGGCUAUAGAAGGAGACAACAGAUCUGGGGUCAGGCUAUAGAAGGAGAAAACCGAUCUGGGGUCAGGCUAUAGAAGGAGACAACAGAUCUGGGGUCAGUCUAUAGAAGGAGACAACAGAUCUGGGGUCAGGCUAUAGAAGGAGACAACAGAUCUGGGGUCAGGCUAUAGAAGGAGAAACCGAUCUGGGGUCAGGCUAUAGAAGGAGACAACAGAUCUGGGGUCAGGCUAUAGAAGGAGACAACAGAUCUGGGGUCAGGCUAUAUAAGGAGAUAACAGAUCUGGGGUCAGGCUAUAUAAGAAGACAACAGAUCUGGGGUCAGGCUAUAGAAGGAGACAACAGAUCUGGGGUCAGGCUAUAGAAGGAGACAACAGAUCUGGGGUCAGGCUAUAGAAGGAG